rnacentral:rRNA from 1 species
GUCUCUGACGAUAUCAUGUUGAAAACACCGGUUCUCAUCUGAUCACCAAUGUUAAGCAACAUAGGGAUUAGUUAGUACUUAGCUGGUUCGCCACUUGGGAAUACGAAGUGCUAUUGGGU